GAUGAACGCUGGCGGCGUGCCUAAUACAUGCAAGUCGAGCGAACGGACGAGAAGCUUGCUUCUCUGAUGUUAGCGGCGGACGGGAGAGUAACACGUGGAUACCCUACCUAUCAGACUGGGAUCACUUCGGGACACCGGCGCUAAUACCGGAUGAUCUUUUGAACCGCAUGGUUCAAAAGUGAAAGACGGUCUUGCUGUCACUUAUCGAUGGAUCCGCGCUGCAUUAGCUAGUUGGUAAGGUAACGGCUUAUCACGGCAACGAUGCAUAGCCGACGUGAGAGAGUGAUCGGCCACACUGGAAGUGGGACACGGUCCAGAGUCCUACGGGAGGCAGCAGUAGGGAAUGUGCCGCAAUGGGCGAAAGCCUGACGGAGCAAGGCCGCGUGAGUUAUGAAGAUCUUCGGAGCGGAAAACUCUGUUAUGAGGUAAGAACAGAUGUGGAAGGAACUGAGCACAGCGUGACGGUACCGAAUCAGAAAGCCACGGCUAACUACGUG
rnacentral:rRNA from 1 species